UGGGGAAUCUUGCACAAUGGGCGAAAGCCUGAUGCAGCGACGCCGCGUGCGGGAUGAAGGCCUUCGGGUUGUACACCGCUUUCAGCAGGGACGAGGCCGCAAGGUGACGGUACCUGCAGAAGAAGCCCCGGCCAACUACGUGCCAGCAGCCGCGGUAAUACGUAGGGGGCAAGCGUUAUCCGGACUCAUUGGGCGUAAAGCGCGCGUAGGCGGUCGGUUAGGUCAGGAGUUAAAUCUGGGGGCUCAACCCCUAUCCGCUCCUGAUACCGGCAGGCUUGAGUCUGGUAGGGGAAGAUGGGAUUCCAGGUGUAGCGGUGAGAUGCGCAGCUAUUUGGAAGAACACCGGUGGCGAAGGCGGUCUUCUGGGCCAUGACUGACGCUGAAGCGCGAAAGCUAGGGGAGCGAACAGG
rnacentral:rRNA from 1 species